GAAGAUACAAAAGUGUUGCAAAACAUCUCUAAUAGCUAGUUCCAACCUCCUAGUGGCUAGAAACUAACUUUCAAACCUUUCAAGAGCUUUAAGUGCAUGCAAACAUAUUGAAGAAGGUAAAUAAGAAGAAAAAUAAAGAGAAAACCUAAGAAACACUAAGAGUCUAUUUAAGAGAGUGCAUUCACUUUCCAACUACCACACUCUUGAGUUUUCAAAGGGUUCAA
rnacentral:lncRNA from 1 species